rnacentral:lncRNA from 1 species
GUCACAGAGCUGGUGCUCAGCCUAAGAGAAGAGUUGCCAAUGACUCAACGUGAGUUGAAAAGAUGGAGCUUCAUCAGCUGGAACUACAUCAGUGGAAACAACCUUGCUUUUCCAAAGGUGGUCUGAUGUUCAAACACUAACUCCAAUCCACUGCAUCUUGCAAAACUUCACAAGGUCAUGCUGAGGAGCAGAAAGGCUUUAAAUGAAUCCUGCACAGAAUUUUGUGGAAGUGACCACCAUCUUCAGAAUGUGCACAGAUGCAUAAGAUUGACGGAAGUGAGGCAACCUGUGAUUUGUCCUGGAGGUAUACUGAGAAAAAAAGACAGGAACACUGAACAAAUUUAUAUUGCAUUCUUUCAUUGAGGUACAUAUAACCAGAGGGAGAUGGCUACUUUCAAACUACAGAAGUAAGUAUGUUUAUUUUUUUUUUCUGCCAUAUGCUGUAAUUAAGAAAAACCUGUAUCUCCAGCCUUUUGAUGGAGAAAAGCCUUGCUGUUAAAUUAAAUGUCUGUUCCACUUUUUAGAGGAUCUGGACUACAUGACUGUGAUGCUUCUUCUAAAUUGGAGUAAAGAUGAUGCAUUUGUCUAGGGCAAUAAAACUGAAUCUUGCAGGUGAUUAUUUUAUUGG